GGGAAUGUGGUUCAAUGGUAGAGGAACCCACCAAACAAGGGUAGGUCCUAGGUUCAAUUCCUAGCAUAUCCA
rnacentral:tRNA from 1 species